AUUUAAACGUCUUGGCUUGAUAUUGUUUCAAUGUCUGAUCAAUCACAGAUUCUUUGGUUUUUAUGGUGCUGCUUUUCUUUUUUAAAGAUGCACAUUAAAAUGGGUGGUACAAUCCUUUUCCACUGUCCUUUUCAGUGCUCUCUCCUGCUGUCCAGCUCUGCUCUCCUCCUCUCACUGUAGCAAAGUCCCUUCAUAAUGAAUGACAGUGUAGGAUAAUAGCCUGGUGUUGCCAUGGAAACCGUACAGCAAUUGCAGCAUUUUUUUUAAGGUGGGAAAUGACAGUGGAGGUGAAAAGCACUCUUUCUCCUUCUCUCUCCCCCAUCUCUCCUUCUCUCUCCCUCUUACUCCCCUCCUGACCACCCCCAAUCGUGGUCUCUCUGUCUGUCUGAUACAAGCCUAAUCUCCCAGUGAACUACUGUGCAGUCUGUUAUAAAGCAGAAAAUAGGGGCAUACAUUCAUGUUCAUGUUUCAAUGUUGUUAUUGGUGUCAUUUAUUAAGGAGUAUGGUUGAGCUGUAAUUUGAGCGGGGGACUGUGACAAUGGAGAAUCUGGGAAAACUGUGUACUUAGAAGGAGAACCUAGAUUCUCUUCCAAUACAAUUAUCACAGGCUUUCUAUGCAAAGAGCCUAUGAACGUUCUUGUCACUUUAAAGUUCUCUGGAUAACUUUGAAUGUUUUUUUUUUACUUUCAGAACAUAAUGGAUCAUCAAAGCUGGGAUUAAAAUUUUUGUGGAGGAACAGCUCUGACUGCUGGAAGAUUUAAGCUUAUUAGCUUUAAAACCAGGGAUUGUCUGGCUGGAAGUCAGGCUGGGUCGAUACAGCUGGUACUGAUCCGUACCUGGUUUGUCCCAAUAAGGAAAUCGAAACACUACACUUGCAUUUUAGAUCUUAGUAAUUUAACAGAUGGUCAUAUACUGUGUAAUGUGCAAGCAGUCCAUUCAACUGAUGCAGAUAAAAGACCACAUAUUGCACUACUCAAUUGAAUAUAUUGAUAUAAUUUGUUUCACCAUUGCUUGGGGGAAGAUAUAGAAUCACAGAUACAUUUUCAAAGCAGAUUGUUUUGUAAAUGUUAGAUAGGCACUUUUUUAUAGCAAAUGGUUUUGUAAAUGUCAGAAAGGUACAUUUUAAUUUUGUUAGAUUUUGUUAGAUGGAUACAACAUCAUAGCAGGUUAUUAAUUAAAUGUUACUGUAUACAACAGUAAUGUAAUAAAUUAUUUGUUUGAGUGGUGUGGAAGAAAUUUUUCAUGAAAAAUUAAAGGAAGAUAAAUUGUGAUCAGCAUUGUAAGAGAUUAGUGACACAAUAAAAUAAUUUUUCCAUUAGUGAAGAAUAGUGGUUUAUCUCUUCUUACGGGGGAAGCCUAAUGUUUGGAGAAGACGUAUUUAAGUGGUGGUUGUCUUUAAAUGACGUGAUCAAAUCACAAAGCUCCUGUUUAGUAUACCUUAAAAUAUUCUGGUGCUCGAGACCACUAUAAACUGGAUCAUGCUUUAAUUGUUGGCGCAUAGCUUCUCAGUGCACAAGUGAUGAUCAUUGAAUCUUUUGUGAUGUUUUCUGAAAGAAUAUUCAAUCAUCAUGAAAAUGUUGCUUCUAGAAAUAUUUUCCAUGGCUGAAAUAAGAAUCAUGGAUAAUGAAAUAAAUUAAACAUAUAAUAACGUACUGUGCUUCUUUAAGAAUGUUUAAUUGUCUAGUGGUAUUGGUAUGAAUGCCAUGGAUUUAAAUUAGUUUAACACAAUCUGUUGAAUACAAUGAACUUAAUGUUGAACUUGAACUGUUCAGUCACCUCUUGUUGAUGAAGUGCACAUUCUGUCUUUAAACAGUUAUUUAGUAUACUAUGGUUUUAAUAUAAUAUUUUUAAGUUUGUUUUUAUUAGUUUUAAUUUUUCUAUGAAGGUCCAGUGCUAAGUUUUUUAGGUGGAGGAACCUCAACUAGAUCUUUAUGUUCAUACUAUAUGCCCACAGAAACAGCACGUUACUCUUUACUACAGUCUAAAUGCUGUUUAGUAUUAAAUACUAGCUUUAGGUUGCACCAUAAAUGGUGUCCUAACCCCUAUGAAAUGUGCAGAGCACAUACGGCUCUGAGCAAAAGAAUUGCACUGCAUAUAUACAGGUUACUAUUUGGCACAUAUCCUUUUUGGUCAAGUUGGCCAGGUGAUGUUAUUCAUUUGAAGCAAGGUGUGGCUUUGAUUUUAUGUAUCUGUGUCAGUGUUUUUUGUGCCUAGCUAUAAAUAACUGAUAACAGCUCUUUCCCGUUCUAGAAAUAGAGUCUCCUGAAUUAGACACAGCCUCAGUAGCUUUCAUUAAACGGGGAAAACAUGUUAAUGGUGCAUUGCCAUGGUGAUGAUUUACCGUUUUCUGAAAACCAAUAUUUUAUAAUACUGCUAUCUAUGUCAUAGCUGCAGGCAGAAACAGGAAAAUGCUGAGGUAAUAUGUUACACAUCCCCUGCCUAAGAGCUGUUUAAUAUAUUACAUAAGGUUGAAAUAAACACUUUUUAUGCAUAGCAAAUAUGGUCUGUGGAGGUAAUUAAUAUAGAUAGAUAUCCUAAAUUGUAUUUUUAUGGUAAAAUGUUUUAAUUAAUGUACUAGAGACAAGUCUGCCAACAAUGAUGGCUUCCAACAAUAAAGGCCAGCAGAGUCAAUUCCGUCUUGAAGGUGAAUUUACCAUAGCUCAACUAUUUGAUGUACUAAUGUGUAAAUACUUAACACCAAAACAUAUAUUUAUUUGAAACCAAGGUUGAUCAUGUCCAUCUGGUGUACAGUGCCUGGCUGCAAUAAUUACAAGGAAACACAGAAAAGUGCUAUUCUGUGUUUCAUUUACCCAAUGCAUCAACAUGUAACUACAACAGAUAUUGCAUUUGAAAUGUUCUUGUUAUUAUGAAUCCAUUGAUCCCACUUAUCCCAUGCCAACCAAUAAUACCAUUACCACACAUUCACCAGUAGAAUGUUUUUUGUUUUUGAAAAAAGCUAUACGCUAUAUUCACACAUUCACUGCUUGUUUAGCAAUAAGCAAGUCACAAAUCAAUAGAAUUAACUCAAUUACUUCUGUCUUGGAAACUUAUGUAAUCCAAAUAUAAUUGAUAAAUACAUUCUUUAAUCAAUUUUUUAAUGCCAUAACAGCAGAUUAUGUUGUUCCCACUGUCUUGCAAAGCAUCUUCAUCAGCCUAUGUAUCAGCCAAUGUAUGAUGUAUGGUACAACAUCACCAUUUUAGAUCACUUCCAAAAUAAAUAUUUAUCUCAACUAAGUCUUGUUGAAAAGCCAUUGUGUUUCUGUAAAGUUUAGUUAGCUAGCUAGAUAGCUAUGUGCUGUAUAACAACAAAAACUGGAAAAUUUUCCGGAAUCUGUUCUGUGUACAUGUUUCUA
ensembl:lncRNA